rnacentral:piRNA from 1 species
UGAAAACGCUAAGGAGGGACUAAAAACAG